GAUGUGUUUCUUCAUGAAAGAGGUCUUAUAGCUAUGGCUGGAUAGAAACAUUAGUAUGGGUCAUACUUCUUAGACGCCUGUGCAAAAAGAGAUGGGAAGGUUUGGCAAAAAUAGGCUGGAAAGGAGUGCAGAGGGAAAGAAAGGUGAAUGGAGAAAAAUCUGGAAGAUCUGUUAACACACUGCAGAAAAAUCUGGAAGAUCUGUUAAUACAUUGCAGACCUACGUUUUCAAUCAUGUGGGGAGGAAGAGAAGCAGGGAGGAGAAGAAUACCAGCAUCAGGCAUCCACAGGCUCUGCCCUGCAUUUGAGAAUCCUCUGUCUUGCACAGUCACUUUCCUUUUGCAGUUAAAACACAGCCCGAGCUGCAAGUCACCCACCAGCUGCACAAGGCAGGGGACAGAGACCCGGGCUGGAGCUGAAAGGGAGAGCGAGCCGUGGGGGAUGUGGCAGGAGAGAGGCACCAGCGCAAGGCUGAAGUGCCAGCUGAGGAGGUCCCCGUCUGUCCUGGCGCCUUCCUAAACUCCCUGUCCAACACUCCCAAGCAUGGCAUCAGCUAUAAUAGCGGCUACCACUGAGGGCAGGAGGACUGUCAUCAGCACAACAGAACUCAUAACCAGAUUUUAAACCACAUUUUUCCUCCCAUAUUAAUUAAUUUUUGGGCUUCUGAAGAAAAAUAACAGGAAUAAUGUUAAAAAUGGUUUACAAUACUUAAACAUUGCAGUUGGAUGUACAGUAGGUGUGCAGAAAUACUAGUGGUAUGUACAAAUUAUUUCUUUAAAGACUGUGAUCUAACAUUUUGAAGUGAGAAAGAAUUAAAUCGUUUACUUUCUUGCAGAACGUGCUUGUCUUGUAAGCCCUUUACACAGGGUUAGUUGUUUUGUUAGUGUUUAUAUGAGGUGAUGAGAUUGUGCCUGAAGCCACUAUCAAAAUACAGAUCUCGAAGCUGUUAUUCCAGAGCAAAAAUUUGAUUACACAACCCUUCCUCAUGAAAACAUUACUACAGAUUUCAAUAUGUAAGUGUUGAAGUAUCAAGAAGUAUUUACAGGAGGGAAAUAUUGAGAAUAAACAACAAAAUAUGAACA
rnacentral:lncRNA from 1 species